rnacentral:lncRNA from 1 species
GUUCGUCUCCUGCCUCUGCAGAAAAUAUGCAAUAAAGCACCUUUCCUGAAGUUUUGUCGAGCGCUCUGCCCAGCGGGAGCCUACACAGUUUGCAGUUGGAAUUGCAAGAAAUCGUGAACGCGUGUGCGCAAGCAGGAUUUUGAGUCGGAUCUGCGUCAAGCUUGCGUCGGCACAAAAAAUUCACUAGGAACUCUUGUGCAGUCAGCGAGACGCGCUGCUGAUGGGUUGGCCUUGGCCGAAUUCGAGUUUUGUUUUUGGAGCUUUUUGUCAAAUCAGAUACUCACAGGACUGUGAAUCCAUAGUUGAAUGCGUCGCGUGUCGAAUUCUGCAGAAGCGAACCUACAAACUCGAACGGCAGCUUGUGGCACAUGCUGAUGUGAGGUUGCGCUUUAUCUCCUUCCGAGCCCUUUGUUGUAAAAAAGAUGAAACCGUACCAAAACAGAAACACACUGAACGCGCGACUGCGGUCGUAUCCAAGAUUUUCGUGACACAAGCUCUUGAACUGUAUUCCUUCGGUUAUGCCGACUGCCGUGUCCCUUUUUUGUCACCUCUCUCGUCCGUUCAAUGCCGCCUACCCUAUGGAAACGACCGCUCUGUCCGGCGCCAGAUGAAUCAUUUUUCGCGGACAUUUUGUGGUCUGAACUUCUCUGACAGUGAGAAUCCGAUUUCUUGCAAAGGACGUGUGUUUUCAGAAAGAACUCGACCACGUGGCGCACACCAACCACACAGCCCCCCCACGUCUAGCCCAGACGAGCAGCGUACCAUUUAAAUGAACCGCGAAGACACGAAAUCUUCCUAAUUUCUCGCCACCGCAGACACGAAGAAAAACCUCCACCUUCUUUCUCAUCACUCAUCUACAACAAAACUCCGCACUUCUGCCACGACGACGCGUUGCAAUCACUUGUCCAAGAGACGCAACCCCCAGAAGUCCCUCCAAACUGCCCAGAAUCAUACGAAAAGUGUCUCUACGCCACGAUUCUCGAGACAUCGGAUGUCUCCGCUGCGUUGAUUAAUCCACAUCAUGUAUGGAAACAGCAGUCGAGGUGUAGGUAGGUUUUAACUUACUCAUGAUCACAAAGGAUACACACACAUAUAUGGAUAUAUAUUAAGGACGUCUCCAUGGAAAGGCUGAUGUAGAUCUGGCGUUUGGGUGUGUGAUGAGUUCGUUUUGUUCUGCUGCAGAACUCGUUGCCUAGCCGUGCCUACGUCCACGCGUUUAGGGCGAAACUUGGUAAGACACCCGUCGAUAGUUUUAUGCAUUUUCGAACGCCUGCAAGGUACACGUAUAUGCUGCGUCUGUGCGUGUGCUAAUUUUUUGGUUUCUUCUCCCGUGUUUUUCUAGCGGCCUCUUUUGGAAUCCUAC